UACGUAGGGUGCGAGCGUUAAUCGGAAUUACUGGGCGUAAAGCGUGCGCAGGCGGUCUGUUAAGACCGAUGUGAAAUCCCCGGGCUUAACCUGGGAACUGCAUUGGUGACUGGCAGGCUUUGAGUGUGGCAGAGGGGGGUAGAAUUCCACGUGUAGCAGUGAAAUGCGUAGAUAUGUGGAGGAACACCGAUGGCGAAGGCAGCCCCCUGGGUCAAGACUGACGCUCAUGCACGAAAGCGUGGGGAGCAAACAGG
rnacentral:rRNA from 1 species